UACGAAGGGUGCGAGCGUUAAUCGGAAUUACUGGGCGUAAAGCGCGCGCAGGCGGUCUGCUAAGCCAGAUGUGAAAUCCCCGAGCUCAACUUGGGAACUGCGUUUGGAACUGUCAGACUAGAGUGCGUCAGAGGGGGUGGAAUUCCGCGUGUAGCAGUGAAAUGCGUAGAGAUGCGGAGGAACACCGAUGGCGAAGGCAGCCCCCUGGGAUGACACUGACGCUCAUGCAAGAAAGCGUGGGGAGCAAACAGG
rnacentral:rRNA from 1 species